rnacentral:rRNA from 1 species
AGCAGCCGCGGUAAUUCCAGCUCCAAUAGCGUAUAUUAAAGUUGUUGCUGUUAAAAAGCUCGUAGUUGAAUUUCGGGACCAAUAUGUCGGUCGUGCCUCGGUACGUACUGGCAUCGUUGGUUUCUCCCUUCUGACGAACCAUGAUGUCAUUUAUUUGGUGUCGUGGGGAAUCAGGACUGUUACUUUGAAAAAAUUAGAGUGUUUAAAGCAGGCUCACGCUUGAAUACAUUAGCAUGGAAUAAUGAAAUAGGACGUUUGAUUCUAUUUUGUUGGUUUCUAGGAUCGACGUAAUGAUUAAUAGGGAUAGUUGGGGGCAUUAGUAUUCAAUUGUCAGAGGUGAAAUUCUUGGAUUUAUUGAAGACUAACUACUGCGAAAGCAUUUGCCAAGGAUGUUUUCAUUAAUCAAGAACGAAAGUUAGGGGAUCGAAGACGAUCAGAUACCGUCGUAGUCUUAACCAUAAACUAUGCCGACUAGGGAUCGGAUGAUGUUAAUUUUUAAUGACUCGUUCGGUCGCCUUAA